GAAUUGACGGGGGCCCGCACAAGCGGCGGAGCAUGCGGAUUAAUUCGAUGCAACGCGAAGAACCUUACCAAGGCUUGACAUAUACCGGAAACGGCGAGAGAUCGUCGCCCCGCAAGGUCGGUAUACAGGUGGUGCAUGGUUGUCGUCAGCUCGUGUCGUGAGAUGUUGGGUUAAGUCCCGCAACGAGCGCAACCCUCGUUCUAUGUUGCCAGCACGUAAUGGUGGGAACUCAUGGGAUACUGCCGGGGUCAACUCGGAGGAAGGUGGGGACGACGUCAAAUCAUCAUGCCCCUUAUGUCUUGGGCUUCACGCAUGCUACAAUGGCCAGUACAAAGGGCUGCAAUACCGUAAGGUGGAGCGAAUCCCAAAAAGCUGGUCCCAGUUCGGAUUGAGGUCUGCAACUCGACCUCAUGAAGUCGGAGUCGCUAGUAAUCGCAGAUCAGCAACGCUGCGGUGAAUACGUUCCCGGGCCUUGUACACACCG
rnacentral:rRNA from 1 species